ACACUAACUGGAGGACCGAACCGACUAAUGUUGAAAAAUUAGCGGAUGACCUGUGGCUGGGGGUGAAAGGCCAAUCAAACCGGGAGAUAGCUGGUUCUCCCCGAAAGCUAUUUAGGUAGCGCCUCGUGAAUUCAUCUCCGGGGGUAGAGCACUGUUUCGGCUAGGGGGCCAUCCCGGCUUACCAACCCGAUGCAAACUGCGAAUACCGGAGAAUGUUAUCACGGGAGACACACGGCGGGUGCUAACGUCCGUCGUGAAGAGGGAAACAACCCAGACCGCCAGCUAAGGUCCCAAAGUCAUGGUUAAGUGGGAAACGAUGUGGGAAGGCCCAGACAGCCAGGAUGUUGGCUUAGAAGCAGCCAUCAUUUAAAGAAAGCGUAAUAGCUCACUGGUCGAGUCGGCCUGCGCGGAAGAUGUAACGGGGCUAAACCAUGCACCGAAGCUGCGGC
rnacentral:rRNA from 1 species